ensembl:snRNA U6 U6 spliceosomal RNA
GUGCUCAUUUCAGCAGCACAUAUACUAAAAUUGGAACGAUACAGAGAAAACUAGCAUGGCCCCUAUGCAAAUUCAUGAAGCAUUCCAUAUUUUU